rnacentral:rRNA from 1 species
UACGUAGGGGGCAAGCGUUGUCCGGAUUUAUUGGGCGUAAAGCGCUCGCAGGUGGUCCGUCGCGUCGUGCGUGAAAGACCCCGGCUCAACUGGGGAGGGUCGUGCGAUACGGGCGGACUGGAGGCCAGUAGGGGGAUGCGGAAUUCCGGGUGUAGUGGUGGAAUGCGUAGAGAUCCGGAGGAACACCAGCGGCGAAGGCGGCAUCCUGGACUGGUCCUGACACUCAUGAGCGAAAGCGUGGGGAGCGAUCCGG